rnacentral:rRNA from 1 species
UAAGGAAUAUUGCUCAAUGGGAGAAAUCCUGAAGCAGCAACGCCGCGUGGAGGAUGAAGGGUCUAUGACUUGUAAACUCCUGUAAAGAAGGAAAAAAUUCCCAUUAGAUGGGAGAUGAUGGUACUUCUGGAGUAAGCCCCGGCUAACUACGUGCCAGCAGCCGCGGUAAUACGUAGGGGGCAAGCGUUGUCCGGAUUUACUGGGUGUAAAGGGUGCUCAGGCGGAUUUGUAAGUCAGAGGUGAAAUCUUACAGCUUAACCGUGAAACUGCCUUUGAUACUGCAAGCCUAGAGUAUGGAAGAGAGUGAUGGAAUAUCUGGUGUAGCAGUGAAAUGCGUAGAUAUCAGAUAGAACACCAAUGGCGAAGGCAGUCACUUGGUCCAUUACUGACGCUAAAGCACGAAAGCGUGGGUAGCAAACA